AACGAACGCUGGCGGCAUGCCUAACACAUGCAAGUCGAACGAGACCUUCGGGUCUAGUGGCGCACGGGUGCGUAACGCGUGGGAACCUGCCCUUAGGUUCGGAAUAACUCCCCGAAAGGGGUGCUAAUACCGGAUAAUGUCUUCGGACCAAAGAUUUAUCGCCUUUGGAUGGGCCCGCGUUGGAUUAGCUAGUUGGUAGGGUAAAAGCCUACCAAGGCGACGAUCCAUAGCUGGUCGGAGAGGAUGAUCAUCCACACUGGGACUGCGACACGGCCCAGACUCCUACGGGAGGCAGCAGUGGGGAAUAUUGGACAAUGGGCGAAAGCCUGAUCAAGCAAUGCCGGGUGAGUGAUGAAGGCCUUAGGGUUGUAAAGCUCUUUUACCCGGGAUGAUAAUGACAGUACCGGGAGAAUAAGCUCCGGCUAACUCCGUG
rnacentral:rRNA from 1 species